UGGGGAAUUUUGGACAAUGGACGCAAGUCUGAUCCAGCCAUUCCGCGUGCAGGAUGAAGGCCCUCGGGUUGUAAACUGCUUUUGUACGGAACGAAAAGGUCUCUCUUAAUAUGGGGGGCUCAUGACGGUACCGUAAGAAUAAGCACCGGCUAACUACGUGCCAGCAGCCGCGGUAAU
rnacentral:rRNA from 1 species